GACGAACGCUGGCGGCGUGCUUAACACAUGCAAGUCGAACGGAGAGGCCCUGCUUUUGUGGGGUGCUCGAGUGGCGAACGGGUGAGUAACACGUGAGUAACCUGCCCUUGACUUUGGGAUAACUUCAGGAAACUGGGGCUAAUACCGGAUAGGAGCUCCUGCUGCAUGGUGGGGGUUGGAAAGUUUCGGCGGUUGGGGAUGGACUCGCGGCUUAUCAGCUUGUUGGUGGGGUAGUGGCUUACCAAGGCUUUGACGGGUAGCCGGCCUGAGAGGGUGACCGGCCACAUGGGGACUAAGAUCCGGCCCAGACUCCUACGGGAGGCAGCAGUGGGGAAAAUUGAACAAUGGGCGGAGGCCGGAUGCAGCAACGCCGCGGGCGGGAGGACGGCCUUCGGGUUGAAACCGCUUUCGCCUGUGACGAAGCGUGAGUGACGGUAAUGGGUAAAGAAGCACCGGCUAACUACGUG
rnacentral:rRNA from 1 species